GAACUAUGUGACCCCGGUCUGGGUGUGAGAAAGGAAAAACUGAUGCAAUGAGUCCGUCCUGUGUAUAAACACGCAUGAGGCACAGCUCAGUUUUGAAAACUAACUCACUUCUAAACAUUCGGUGGGGAGAUAGAGAGAAAUGUGUCCAAACCUGGACCUGCCCUGGACUUCAGAACCAAGUCUCCUGCUACAGGACCCCAUGACCGUGGACCUCACCCUCCCGCAGAAUGGCUACAUAGCAACUAUGUAUGUGCAGAGCAUCGCCGAAAACUGGGAAAUGGAGCCAAAACUGCCUCUGAGCAAUCAAAUAUCGCGAAGUCCUUAAUACUCUGCUCAGGAAACAAACAAACAGACAACGAAAUAAAAAAACAAACCCGCCUCACA